AUUAUGGUGUAUGUGUGUGUGUGUGUGUGUGUGUGUGUGUGUGUGUGUGUGUGUGUGUUGGAUAUGGAGUUUUUCUCCCACCAGACAGCGGUGGGUAAGAGUCAGAUGCUUCUUACUCAGAUGACAGAGAGCUGUCCUCCAGGCCUAGAAACUCCCAACUCAUUUUCUCUUUCCAUACCCAUGCUCCUGCCCUGUCUAUAGGGGCACAAUUCCAUUUUUUCCAACUACUGCUUUUUCACAGGAACAAUAUAGGAGUGGCUCAAAGAUGGAACCCUUCCCUGGUCCCCCUUUCCUUUUUUUUGGGGGGGGGAUGCUAAGAGGUAAGGAAGCAAGGCAGACGGGCCAACAAGCACAGACAAAACAGGACAGGCUGGAGAACAGGCUGAAGUCGGGAAGUGGAAGAUCCGGUUGAAGCAAGAGAAAAGGAGGAAAGGACAAAAGUCUAGUAGAUGCAGGCCACUGUCUGUGAAUUAUUCAUCUUUGUGUUGAGGCCCUGAUCAGAUCCCAGCGCAGAGCCAUGGAGACGCUCAAUGAAUGUUUCAUGAACUCUUGCUGAAGAUGAAAAUUCACAAGUGGGCUGGUUUUGUACUGACUAGAUUCCCGAGAAAAGUGCAAACACUGGCUUGGGACACGGGUGCCAGUUCUUUGUACCUACAGCAAAUCUCAGACAGAAGAAGCUCUGGGGGACCAGCAGGAAAUAAGAAGAGGGGGACGGAGAGAGAGAGAGGUGAGGCUACAGAUCCCGAGUAUGACUGAACACACCUGAGCAGGACUUCUGAGCUUUAGGACAGGAGGACCACAAGGCUGAUCUGAGUAUUAAAUGAGAUAGCAUACACUAAUGGGUUUGUGGACUGCAACAAUUACACUGCUUAUUUUCAGUGACAGAAUCUCACUAUGGUACCAGGCUGGCCUCAAAACUUGGGGUUCGGGGUUGGGGAUUUGGCUCAGUGGUAGAGCGCUUGCCUAGGAAGUGCAAGGCCCUGGGUUCAGUCCCCAGCUCCGAAAAAAAAAAACAACUUGGGGUUCAAAUAAUCCUCUUGGCCUAGUCUUCUGUAAAUCUGGGACUCUGAGCACACAUUGCUUAGGUGGCUUUUAGUAGUACAAGUGAGGCCAGGGUCUGACUACAGAAGCACCAAGUCCUUCUAAGGAAGAAGUGAGCACUUCUGAGGUUUUUGUUUUUGUUUUGUUUUGUUUUUGUUUUUUUCUUUUUUUCUCCAGGAACAGAAAAUUCUCGACUGAUAACCUAGAUUGACCUCAAAUGGCCUCCCUGGCUUCUGGCCUCACCUUCCAGCCUCUUGUCAGAACAUCACAGAUAUCCUUUGCACACAAAGGGAAGAACUCUGUGUAACAAAUGUAAGAACUCUAGGGAACCAGCCUCUAUCUGCUGACAGUCUGUCUCCAAAUUCACAGUCCAUCCUCCAUCCCUCUCUCAGGUUCUCAAAAAGAAGGCAAGGCCCCUAAGGGACAAAGCUACUUCAGAAACAGCCUGUGGAGGGAUCCCCACAUCCCUUUGAAGAUAUCCUUGUUGUCCAAGGCCUUUUGCCAAUCUGAUCUCAGACAGCAUAAGAAGAAACAGGGGCAUGCCAAAGAAAACCUCACUGCUUACUAAACUGUUCUCCAACUCUGUCUCCAUCAAGUGUGUUUUGUGUCUUAUUUGGGAAGAUGGAAACUGUUUGGUAAGAGCCUGGAAGAAGGAGGAGCCAUCUGCAACUCACCUACAGAGUCAUGCACACGCCAGCAGACAAAAAAGUAGAAAGACCCCCGAGGCAGGAGCUGGAAAGUCAUCUCCCUGGGAAACUGAGGACUUCUCCGGUUGUGAAAAGGUCCAAGAGAGCUAGGGCACUCAAGGAACUUGAAAAGCUUGCGCUCUCCAGGUCUGGUUAGCAUCACCAGCCCCACGGGCUUAAGCGGAGUCCAUGAGCAAGGAAAAUAGGCUUUAGGCAGUGUCAGCUCUCUCCUCAGUCUAGCAUAAGAUUGGGUCCUGUUCAUCAAAGCCCCCAAUCCACUGAUCAGAAGCUGGCCACCUAGGCUGGUCUCAAAGAGAAAAGAUGUGGAAGCUAAGAAUUGAAACUAACGAACUUGGGAAAGAAAAGCCCACACACAGGUCGGCAUCUGGACUUCGAUGUGGAGUGCCUUCUGAGACGUUUACCCCUCUUCUCAGCCUCUUUCCACUCAUCUUUCCCAAGCUCUCUCCAGAAACAUCUUUUCCUCUGCUUUCAGCUCCCCAAGAAAGGUGCCAAGAAAGGUCUGGUUUUCCUCCUUGACUUUGCUUCUCUUCUUAACCACCUGACUACACAAUCCCUUUAUGGGUGGAGGUGGGGCCAGGCACGAUAUGGGAUACUAUGCAAAUAGAGGGUAGACCCACAUUUGGUGUACAUAAGGGUAGCCUCAGUUCCACAGAGGUUCCUGAGAUUUCAACAACCUCCAGAAGGGCAAGAGCGGAAGGGCGAUUCUGACAGGUUCUAAAAACAGAGGGCUAUUGAGUUGAAUGCCCGAUAGUAACCCCAGAGGCACAUGGACCUGUUGCCAAGCCAGUCUUGGUGCUACUAGAUUCACCUUCUAGAUCCCCUGCGGACCUGAAUUUUGCAAAAUUCAGCCCGUUCGCCUUCCACCAACUCCCCACCAGAAUUUCCCAGAAGGCUGGCACUUGGAGUGAGUCGGGAUAAUCCUCGGGAGCGGGAGCGUGGGAAUCUGAACUACUAGGCAGUCUCGGUCGGGCAGCCAUUGUGGACCUUUUCAGACAGGAGUCCAAGCAGGAGCGAGUCCUGGCCAGGAACCAGCUUUUCUUCUCCGCCCCCCACCCCGGUCUGGCAGGAGAGUCCCACAUAUGGUCCGCUCUCAGGCUCCUCUCCGCGGCGCCCAAGGGUGGCCAUCUUCCACUUGGGGAGCGCCAAAGCACGAAGGCCCUAGCGCCCCCUUUGGAGAGUCCCUGGCUCCGACUGGACCAGCGCGCAGCAUGCGCUGUGACAUGCACCAGACAGUUUGCUACUAAUGGGACUUUCACAGAGGUGCUAAGGCCUGGUGUUCAAAAGGCUCGGCCCAAGUCUGCCCAGCGGACCCAGAGGAGGACGAUUCCGGGAGCGAGAUGAGAGCAGUAGGUACUUUCUUUCCCUGUUGGACGUCCUGCGCUCCAUUAAGAACUGGAGAUCUGUUUGGCGCCCAGCGACCCCGGGCUCCUGACACCAGCCUGCAGCAGACAAGAAUGGCCGGCACCCCCAGACUCUUACCGUAGCAUCUUCUCCCGAAUAGUGUCCGAUGACACGGUGCCCCCCUGGGUGCCGCUGGGACCAUUUGGUAACGUUGUAGACCUUGCGGUCGAUGACGAGCCACCGGUCGGUGCGCAGGUUGUGCUUCUGAAUCUCCUCCCAGCGGAAGGUGGGCAUCGGAGCCUGGAGCUCGGUGCUCCCCUCUCCCUGGUUACCUCCCUUCCCCAUGCUGCCUGUCUACCCGGAUGACCCGUGCGCUACGGCCCUCCGGGCGCCCGCGGCUCGCAGCACCGACGGUCCCUCUCCUGGCCGCAGUGUGCGGUAGGCGCCCUCCUCGCUUUCAGCUUUUGUCUUCUACUCCUCCUCCCACCGCGCCUCCUCCCCUCGCCUUCGCUCCUCCUCGCCUACACUAGCUAGCCAGUACCCCUGCCUUCCCUCAGGAGUACCCCUGGCUUCCCAGUGCCCCCCAGCGGUCCCCUUCCUCCACCCGCCCUCGGCCCGCCUGCUGUGGACUUUUGCCUCUAGUGAAAACUCCCGGGUAGCUCAGGGCCUCGACACCUCCUCCCCCCACCCCUCCGGCUCCCCCCGCUCCGGGCUCCGCAUCCUCCCGAGUUCCCCGCCACCCGGGUUUCCACAGUGAUCAGCAGAGCGCCUGCACCAAUCAGGGCUCGUCGCCCCGCCUGCCAUUGGCCCAGGAGAAUCUUUCGAAGGCCAGCGGGCUGGAGCGGCGGGUCCCCGGCUCCCCCUCCCUCGCGUCCGCCCGCACGGAGUUAAGCCCUGCUGGGCGGCCGGCGACGUGUCUGACCUCCUCCUCCUCCUCCCUUCGCUGGCUGGAGCGGAGAAAGACGGAGUAGAUCUCUGAGGAGCUGAGAGGGAGAGCGGGGGCGGCGGCUGGGCUUUUCUUUGCGCGCUUCAAAGCGCGAGCGCGCUCGGCCCGCGCUCCGGGGAUUUGCACCUGAUGCUCGCACAAAGGAGGCGCAACGGCUUUGGUGACCAACACUCGGCCUCCGGCUGGACAAGGGCCCCUGUGCUGUCUUGGCUAGGCGACGGUCUCUCCCUGGCUAGCUGGGACGCAGACUCCCGUAUCUCGCAUUGUCUAAGCGAUCCAUAUUGUUUGUUGCCUUCCAGCAACCUUCCUAGAGAAAGGAGUCAGAAGUGGGUUUCUCUUUAACCAGGGCUCUGACUCCUUUUAUCAGACCAUCUUGGAAAAGAAUUGCAGAACCUCUGCUUCUUCCUCGUGCUAAGUGCCGCGGGGGUGGCUCCUGGGGAGGAUGCCAGGAUGAACUGGACACCGUUCCUGUCUUUGACUGAAAAAGAGUUCACAAGCCUGGUUGGGAAACAUGGAAGCAUUAAAAGCCCGCAAUUGAUUCGACAAUAGUGCACCAAUUACAGGAAAGAAAGAUGCUGAUACUAAGGGAGUAGCAAGAGGGGCCUGUCCACUAAAGUCUCACCACAACCCUGUAAUAUUGUUAUAACUCACUUCAAAAUUAAGAGUCUGAGGUUAAGAGAGAUAAAAUGGUCAAAAUGCACAUGCUUAGCUAGUGGCCCUGCUUGGUCUCUUCCACGGCCCUUUCCAGACUUUGGGCUCCCUAGAUCCUCAUGAUGCUGGUCCAAAUGAAGUACCUGGUGCGGGGGUAAUGGCCUCCCCACAGUCCCUCCCACGGCAUCCUCAUCCCAUUCUGUCCUGGCAUCCGUCACCUUUUCUUCAUUCCACACACUCCAGGCCCAAGGAAUGUGAGUGAAGCCACAAACAUCCAAACAGUGCCGCCUGCCCGCCGGAAAGAUAAGAAGUAGGUGUGGUGGCCAUGUCCAUACUGUCAACAAUCAGAAGCCUGAGGCAGAAUAUUGCCAGAGUUUGAGGCUGGUCUGGGCUGCAAAGCAAGAUCCUGUAGGGGGAUGGGACACAGCUAUGCAUACGGAGCAAGACUGGCUUUUAUACAUGUUAACGAUGUGACAUAAUAAAGUCAAGAAAGCGGUUUUGUA